rnacentral:rRNA from 1 species
GACGAACCGUGCGAACGUUAUUCGGAAUCACUGGGCUUAAAGCGCGUGUAGGCGGGAGGGCACGUCCGUUGCUGAAAUCCCCCGGCUCAACCGGGGAACGGGCGCCGAUACGACCGGCCUGGAGGGACGUAGGGGGACCUGGAACUUCCGGUGGAGCGGUGAAAUGCGUUGAGAUCGGAAGGAACGCCCGUGGCGAAAGCGAGGUCCUGGACGUUUUCUGACGCUGAGACGCGAAAGCCAGGGGAGCGAACGGG